CUGAGUUAGCAGGGUCUCUGCUUAUCAGAGCCAUUGGACAGUCUAUGGGGUCCUCCACAGCAGCAAUGGAUUUUGCAAAGUGAUUUAUUUGAGAAUGGCAAUAUGAUUUUCUACAGUGCCAUGCGAGUGAAGGGGGGCAGGAAAGAGCCUUGUAACAGCUUUGAUUGUUGAAAGAAAUGUUGAACCAAAGAGAUCUCCGGGCAUCUAGUGGUUCACCGGGAAAACUGCAUCCACACACCCGAAGCUCGGGGAUGAACUCAGAGCAAGGGAAGGCGAUGAGAAAUGCCGCAGGGGAAUGCUGCCACUAGUUCCAAGCCCGACCAGCCCUCGGCACUUCGGCACACAAAUUCAGUGUCUCUGCAUGUGUCGCUGCCCAACCUCAUUAUCACCAUUAGACGACGCUGAUAGGAGCCAGGCAGGCUGGGGAAACGCAGGCAUCGAAUCGUUUGCUCUCUGCAUCCAUUCACAAACUGUGAAAAGUCAGAUCUUUCCUAAUGGAGCAGUAAAAAUGAGGACUACCCUUGUGAUUAAUGGAAUACAAAUCCAUGAAUGGGAUACAAAGACAUGCCUCCAUUUCCCUUGUAUUAUUAAUGGCACAUAUUAAAAAUUGAGUGUUUACAAUAGGAAAAUGCUGCUCACUCCCACAAGAACUGAGUACAGCAGCACAGGAGAUUAAGUGUAGCUGCCACAGUCAUGCACAUAUCAUUCAAAUACUUAUUUUUGUCCAUAUAAGUGCAAAUAGCUUGGCUAACCAUGAUCAUUUUGUAGACUAUUAUCCACUUUUUUAAGGGUAAUGUUUGGCCUAGAGCUAGACUAGAAGGGGCUUCUCUCUAAACUCUGCAUCUUGCAGGCAACAGUUAAAAUUUUAAUUUGCAGACGGCCCAGCUGAGAUCAGAGCUUUGUGCCAAGCACUGAGUAAAUACAUGAAAGAGAGCCCCAAGUACGAAUUAAAAUUCUGAAAGAAACUGAGGUGAAAGGAAAGGCAAUUCAUGUGUAGAAACAGACAUCUUAGUGCAAGGAAAUAGAACAGAGAUGAGCAGGGAGGACAAAUAAAUGGAAACCAAUUGUCGCUUCUAUGUCCAUCAUCUCCCCUAAGACGUCUCUCCAGCCUUGAAAUAUUGCCUUAUGUUUUAAUGUAGUACAAAAUAAAGCACAGGCUCUCUGAUUCAAAUGCCAUCGUCAAGAAAGCAACAAGUGCAUUUCUCUCUUGAUUGUAAAUUAGAUCUCCACACCAUAAGGAGUGUAAAGCAUUUUAUUAGACGUGCAUCUUCCCAGUGCAAAAUUAGAAA